rnacentral:tRNA from 1 species
AUUUAUAUAGUAUAAUACUUUAUUACAUUUAAUUUCCAAUUAAAAAAUUUAAAAAUAAAUUUAAUAUAAAUA